GGCCUUAUACAUGCAAGUCGAGCGCAUCCUUCGGGAUGAGCGGCGGACGGGUGAGUAACGCGUGGGAAUGUGCCCUUCUCUACGGAAUAGCCACUGGAAACGGUGAGUAAUACCGUAUACGCCCUCAGGGGGAAAGAUUUAUCGGAGAAGGAUCAGCCCGCGUCAGAUUAGGUAGUUGGUGGGGUAAUGGCCUACCAAGCCUACGAUCUAUAGCUGGUUUUAGAGGAUGAUCAGCCACACUGGGACUGAGACACGGCCAGACUCCUACGGGAGGCAGCAGUAGGGAGUCUUGGACAAUGGGGGCAACCCUGAUCCAGCCAUGCCGCGUGAGUGGAGAAGGCCCUAGGGUCGUAAAGCUCUUUCGCCUGUGAUGAUAAUGACAGUAGCAGGUAAAGAAACCCCGGCUAACUCCGUGCCAGCAGCCGCGGUAAUACGGAGGGGGUUAGCGUUGUUCGGAAUUACUGGGCGUAAAGCGCGCGUAGGCGGAUUGGAAAGUUGGGGGUGAAAUCCCGGGGCUCAACCCCGGAACUGCCUUCAAAACUCCCAGUCUAGAGUUCGAGAGAGGUGAGUGGAAUUCCGAG
rnacentral:rRNA from 1 species